UACGUAGGUGGCAAGCGUUGUCCGGAUUUAUUGGGCGUAAAGCGAGUGCAGGUGGUUCAAUAAGUCUGAUGUGAAAGCCUUCGGCUCAACCGGAGAAUUGCAUCAGAAACUGUUGAACUUGAGUGCAGAAGAGGAGAGUGGAACUCCAUGUGUAGCGGUGGAAUGCGUAGAUAUAUGGAAGAACACCAGUGGCGAAGGCGGCUCUCUGGUCUGCAACUGACGCUGAGGCUCGAAAGCAUGGGUAGCGAACAGG
rnacentral:rRNA from 1 species